rnacentral:lncRNA from 1 species
GGGCCACUCCUGUGGCAUAUGGAGGUUCCAGGCUAGGGGUCUAAUCGGAGCUGUAGCCACCGUCCUACGCCAGAGCCACAGCAACUCGGGAUGCGAGCCGCGUCUGCGACCCACACCACAGCUCACGGCAACGCCAGAUCCUUAACCCAUUGAGCAAGGCCAGGGAUCGAACCCACAACCUCAUGGUUCCUAGUUGGAUUCGUUAACCACUGAGCCACGACGGAAACUCCAGAAACCCCAAAUCUUAAACCCAAGGUGGGGAAAGGCUGAGGAAGGCAUUGAAUCCAAUGUAUCACAGGCAAAGAGACUUCAAAGUCUCCAUCUGAUGGCUCAAAUAUCCAUGACAGAAUUGGUAUUUCUUCUCAGAUUCAAGGCAUGGCCAAGUCACAGAGGCUCACUUCCAGGGUCCAGUUUUCAUCUUGGAGGCUGUAACCCAGGCAGCCUCUCUGCCCUUUGAUCUGGUUGGAACUGGAGUGUAACAAAUAUGCUUGUAUUAAGCUAUCUCCAGUCUGCCUGAGGGCAUCGGUCUGGAAUGUGAGAAGGGGAGCUUCAAACAGUGAGGUUCCCAAAUCUUCAUUUGCAUUCCAUUUUUUCCUGGCAGGCUGGCUAAGGCUUCUUCUAUGGAAGGCAGUGAUGGGGGUGCCUGUGGACUUCAGCAACACUGAAUGGCCUCCAAAGGCAGGACUAGAGGGCUUUGUCCCUAUCCCCCGGGACCAGGAAUCAGCUGAAGAACAAGAGGAACUACACGCAAGCACCAGGACCCUACAUUAUACUUUUAUUAAGCCACCCACAGGCACCUAUGGAGCACCUAGGAGCUCUAAGCACUGCGCAAGAAAGACCAAAGAGGGCGCCACCGUCUUUGGCCAUCAAAGCAUCCACGUUCCACCAGCCACCUCUGGGGUGAUGAAUCGUUUCAAGGACGCCAUCCAUUCUAUUCCAGGUCUGUCUCCUCCUAGACUUGACAAUGCAAGCCUUCAUUUUCAAAAUCAGAAGGUAUAAAAAAUGUGUUUAGCUGGAAGAUACUCUGUGUGAAAGAAUGUGCAGCUGACAGCAAACAUUUCCAGCAGCACAGCCAAUAUUUUCCUAUUUCCUGGACAAUUUACUAAAAACCUUCCACCCCUGCUUUCAUAGGUUGAAGGCAUCUGCUGUGCCAAAUUGUCUGCUGGUGACAGAGAGAAACCAACACAUUCUUCAUUGCCCAGGGAUAAAAUUGAAAAGGGAGAGAGAAGUGUCCUUGACAAAUAGUAGACUCUAAACUACACCUGUGUUACCCUGUCCCUGAGAGACUUCAAGUGCUGGAUGAUCAGAGAUGGUGAGAAAGCAGCUCACUUAUUUUUCACCAGUUUACACCACGCCAGGCAUAAUCCCAACGUAUCAAGAACCCCCAGGUCCUUGGGUGAUUGCUUCACAAAAACAUGGAAAUGAUGCAACAGAAACAACUGAGUUUUUUUUGUUUGUUUGUUUGUUUUGUUUGUUUUUGUUUUUGUUUUUUGUUUUUUGACUCCUCCAGAUGGAAAAGGUAGUGCUUUAAAUAUCAUGUUCCCUGGACAUCCGUCAUCCAAAGCACAAUGCAACCACUGUAGGGCAGAGAGAGAGGAGAUAUUCUGCGGGCAAAGCACGCAAACCAGAGCCUCAACCCACUGAAGAAAUGGUCUUGUGCUUCUCCUUGGAACAGCGGUGGGGUGGGCCAUGCACGAGAAUGUUGCUGGCCGGCCUUGAAAGAAAGAAACCCUUUCGGAGACCAGCGACCUUAAACAUCGCAUCAGCCUUUGAAGUUAUGCACAAUGACAUCCUUUGGUUCCUGGCCCGGGGCAGAGGUUUAAGCUUUAAGACUCCAUUUACUUACCAAGAGUUGGAGAAAUAUUUUCACUGCGGCACAAGGUAAAAGAGCCAGGUUUUUCAAAAAGCAAGGGAUUGGAUGGUGAGGUCGGGGAAUAUACUCUUUACAGGGGGCCACCCCACAGUGUGAAGGGAAUCCAGAGCUAGAAAGGUACCUUUCUGGGGUUAAUCUUUCUUUUUAGCCUUCUGUACCAUUCAGAUCAGUUUUGUAAAACUCACAUCAAAGUCACAGAAGCAGAGGUGGUUCUGAGGCUCCCACCCUCCCUCUAACCCAUCCUUGGUCCAACCUGCCCAACCCAUGCUUGUCCUUCCUACCAGCAUCUUCACAUCUCUGAACCAGUCUCACCCCCACCCCCGAAAAAAGGGCACCCCCAGCUCCCUGCAGUGCUGCAUCUCCAGUAGGAAUCCAAGGAGUGAUAACAUCUCCCACAGCAGGGUGAGGGGGAGCUUCGUGCCCACUGCUGCCUCGAUACAACUCUCUAGAGCAUCCAAAUUAGCGUUUAUUCCUUGUGGUGGGUUCCACCUAUCUGGUUGACCACUCCAUCCUGGCACAUUGUGCACCCAGCCACCACAGUGUUGAGUACAUAGCAAGUACUCAACGCAUGCUUGUAGAACAAAGGCCCCAUUCCUCCAACCCCAACAUUUUCUCUUUCCAUUCUGCCAGAUAUCUACUAUCUUAGGGUACAGUCAUCGGGGCCUCAUCCAAUGCUCUUGGACAUCGAACCUUCUCUUGCCGGAGCUCUUUGGCUUUCAUCUCAUGCCAUGGCAGACGUCCUUUUGCAAGAUCCCAAAAAGCUGGGACUCCAGAGAUUCUGGGAACCUCAAAAUAGUCACCUAAGAAAAGGUAGCAAUGUUACAUGCCAUCGUGUUCAUGGUUUGAGAAGCUACGUCAAACUAAUUACUGAACUGGAGCCAAAGACUUGAAGGAAAACAGAAGGAAAUCUGUUGCCUUGAGAUGUAUCUUUCUUCUUCAAAGAACUCAGAGCUGCUCCCAUCGUACAUGAUGUUAGGAUAGGCCUUGGGCCAAUCAUUGUGAAGAGCAUCUGAAAAAUCACUCAGAAUUGUGUGCUCCGUUGUUUUGCAAAGGAUAUAACUAUUUGUUUGCUUAAGUGAGGCGGUAGGGAUUGCUGGAAAGGUUCUGUGAAGAUAUUAGCUAACCUCAAGUCCCCACCAGCAAACACAAGCAUGCCGUUCACACACGGGUCACAACCACCCACAUCAUCUCGGACUCACAGAUAUGAAUAAUGUAUAAACGAGCUGAACCCCAUUCCAACGAGCAAGAGACUUUAGCUCACAAUGGAAAUGUAAACACAACCUUUAGCUGAAGAUAGUCUUUGACUCCAAAGGGGUCACAUACACAAUACAAACAAGGUCUUUACUGGGGCCUGCACGGGUCUCCAGGGGGGCUGUGCUGAAGUUUCCUAAUGGAAGGGGUGGUAAGUCGCCGUGAAGGGGCUGAUUCGAACACCCCAUUUGCCACGUGUUCCCAAUGAGAACGCGACACGAGAAUCUCUUCAUCUGAAAAUCUUCAAGAGAUCCUGCCUGGUCCAUGAGGCUCCAUGUCCCCUUCAGAGCAAAGAGGCCACACGGCUCCCAUAUUUACACAAAGGGGACAGUUUGGUCAGGAAGAACUCUGUAAAGUAGUGCUUGCGGAUUAAUCGAGUUAAAAGAUAAGCCCAGUUAAAGGAGCCUCUUGCUUAAACAAUACGGCAGGUGGAAAAAUGAGUGAAAUAAAGACAGCGAAAUUCAGGAGGUACCAUCGCCAAAUACACAACUUGUCAUUUCUAAUAAAGCAAGAAGGUGGAACUUGAGUCACUGAGCAAAAUGCUCAAUACCCAGUUAGGAUCCACGGCCCCUGAAGAGCUACCUAAUUACCCCGGAGAUGAAGUCCCCGGGUGGCAGGUCCCCAGGGUCCCUUCUAGGCGCCUCCAUCAUUCAUCGGGAAGUCAGGGAAAAUGAGUUAUCUAGGUGAGGUUUGAUGCUCCCAACUUUUCAAGGGUUGCUCAGAUCUCAGAAAUAAAGACUGGCAGAUCAAGGGGGAAGCACAGACAUGACCGUUUGGUUCAUUAGAAUCGUGGAGCUAAAACCUCUUUUUGCAGUUGUAAGGAGCCAGCGUCAGUCAGUUUUCCAAACGGGAAAAGGAAAGUACCCUAGCCUUUACUGUAACAAACCAAGAGCCAUACGAAACUCAAGCAUGAUAAAAGGCAGAACGAAAAAAUAAAACUUGAGUAAUUCCUCUUAAGUGACUUUCUUUCAAUCCAUUUUACUUUAUUUUAGCAAGAAGAAAGUAUGAGAUUUGAGGCUCUGUCCAUAUGUUUGGUUGCUGUUCACUUUGAUUUUUUGUUUACGUUUGUCUCAAUUUUUUCUUUAAUGGUAACAGCUGCAUAUGGACAAAAUUCAAAAGGUUCAAAAGGAUAAAAGCAAAUAAUCUUAUCACCUGUCACCAGCCACCUAAUUCCUUCCACUCCUGGGCAGUAAACACGCGAACAAAAAACAGUAACUACUACCCAAAUACUACCCCCAAAAAUAGGGCUUGGGAGGAAAAAAACAAACGAAAUAAGGAAAACCCCCUAAAACAAGGAUCUAAAUCUGGUGUAUCCUUUCAGAUCUAAUCUAUGCAAACAUUAGCAUUUCUUUCCUUUGUGAAAACACAAAAGAAAUGUUUUUUUGUAAACUGUUCUGUACUUUGCAUUUUUUUCCCUUAACAUAUCUUCAAGGUCAUUCCCCAUCAGUAAAUACAGAGAUGUCUUAUUUGGUACAAGUGCAAGCACAUCUGCAGGAUAAACUUCAAGAAAUGGAAGAGCUUGCCCCAAAUAUAUGCAUUUUCUUUUUCAAUUAAUAUUACCAAGAUGUCUUUCCCAGAGACGGUAUCAAAUUAUACGCCCCUCAGCAAUGUCAGCCUCUGCCUCUCCCCACCUUGGCAAAUACACAGCAGUAUUAACAUUUGAACAUCACCAGGCUGACAGGUAAACACGAUCUCUUAAAGUGUUAGUUUCUCCUUCUCUUAUUAGCAGAGAGGGUAAGUAACAUUCUCAUAUAUUUAAGAGCCAUUUAGUUCCUUUUCUGUUAAUGACCUGUUCACAUUUUAGGUGAUUUUCCUACCACUUUCUCUUUCUUAAAAGGCAGUCUCUCUAGCAAAUGCUAUCCAAACUGGUCUUUUGUAUAGUUCUUUGCAGUUGUUUAAGCCCAUUCAUAUACAAUCUAAUGCAAUAACUGCAAUGAGCUGGGGAGCAGGCAUAAAAAUACGAUUCCCAUUUUACCGCCAAGGACACCGAGGGAUUCCCAUUUUACCGCCAAGGACACCGAGGUUUUGAUUCUUAGUAGGUUUGACCAAACAGCUCACAGAAGUUUGUAAACAGGACUAGCAUUUGCGUAGCUUAUCUUCCAGUCUAAUGAUCUGCUCGUGUCUGCUUACUAUGUUCAAAUGCCUCUUAGGAGUUCCCAUUACGGCUCAAUGGGUUAAGAACCUGACUGGUAUCCAUGAGGAGGCGACUUUAGUCCCUGGCCUCGCUCAGUGGGUUAAGGAUCUGGCAUUACCAGAAGCUAUGGCACAGACUGCAGAUGCAGUUCGGAUCUGGCAUUGCUGUGGCUGUGUAUAGGCCAGUCGCUGCAGCUCCAAUUCGACCCCUAGCCUCGGAACUUCCAUAUGCUGCAGGUGUGGCCCUAAAAAGAGGAAACUUGCAGACAUAAAAAUUUGCAAUGGGCAUAUGAUUAAAACCUGCAAGGAAGGAUCUCCACAGUAUACAAAGGGUAGGGGGCAAAGAACAAGUGAGUUAGUACAGGAGAGACGCAGUAUGAAGUCAGAGGACAGGGGGCCCUGACUUGGUGCGUGAACCAGGAAAGGAACAGUGCCAGACUCAAAGUUGAUAGGCAGCCGGUGGGUGGAGGUGAGCAGAGCCCCCUCUGCUGGGCUGGUAUUGAGAGGCAGGCUCUGCUGUGUGGAAAGGACAGGGCUGAGCACUGGCCUCUUAGCACCUGGGGUGCUCAGCCAGGUAAACAAGACAGGAGAUCUGGGCUCAGCAACAGAGUAGGGACCAGCUUGGGGUACCAAUAAAAAGAACUAAGACUCAAGGUCAAGGUUGGACAAGGCAACAAGGAUUCUGGAAUGGAGUUGCUUAAACACAGUCUCAGGUCAAGAUCUGACCUAGGACUUGGGCAAGCCCCUCCCUCAGGGAAGCUGAGCAGCUUUAGCUGUGCAGUGAGUGAGAUGCGUGGGUCUGGAGCCCAGGGGUCCAGUGCAGCCAGCCACAUCAGGGGCAAGGGAGGAAGCAGGCCAGCAGGGACCAUCACCGUGGCUCCAGCAGGCCCUGGGAAGCCGGCUGGAGAGUGGGGGAGACAAGGGGGCAAGGUGGGGGCAACUUGAUUUUUACUACCUGGCUGAGAUGCUCCAAUGCAUCCCCUGCAACCUACUCACAUAUGAAUAAGCUUAGAUCUCCCUUAACGUGAUACUUCUUCCUAUUUAUCACUAAAGAGUCUCGCUCACUCACAUUCUCAGCGCUGGAGGAAGGCACAGUGCUACCAAAAGGUAAUAAGAAAAGUGCAAUUACACAGAGUUCCAUCUGUGGCACAACGGGAUUGGUGGCAACGCUGCAGCGCCAGGACACAGGUUUGAUCCCCAGCCUGGUACAGUGGGUUUAAAAAAUCUGGUGCUGCCGCAGCUUCGGUGUAGGUAGCAGCUGUGGCUCAGAUCUGAUCCCUAGCCUGGGAACUCCAUAUGCCGCGGGGUAGCCAAAAAAGAAAAAAAGAAGGGCAAAUACAGUCCGAGGACUCAUUUAUUUAUACGAUGUAUCAGAACUUAUGCACACAAAUCUCAUCUGAGAUUUGUAAGUUCCCCUCAACACUGAGUAGAGGGUGUCAGGAAUGGGGAAAGCUAUUAUUCUCUUUAGCUUUGGGACCUGGCACCAGCAGCUGAGGGGACAGAGGUGGUUUUAUUGGCUCAAAUAUAUCUUUUGGGGAGCAGGGGGUCUCCCAAAACAGUGAGGGGCUGCCACGCUAGUUUCCCUUGCAAAAGCCAGUGAGGAACACUGACAAGGGGUGAGGCCAAGUUGUGGCCACAUGCAGCCCUUGAGUCACCAGGGAAGGGAUAAGGAGAAAAAACAAGGACCACUUCUCACACAGCCUCCAGACGGGGACCGUGCCCUGCCCCCGGUUACCAACACCAUUCAGUCUUGGAGCAGAAGCGUGUGGCAGCAAAACUCUAGCCCGGGACUGCCACGGCUUUAUGGACACUAGGAAUCUUGUCACACGAUUUGAGAAGUGACCCCGGUUUACAAGUUUGAGUCGCAUGACUUUAUAAUGACCUACCAUCAUGGACCCCAAAUGAUAGGACCCCGCAAAUAUUACCUGCUCUCAAGUGAUUUACCUUUUGUUACCCCUGAGGAUAGUCAAGAGAAAAAUAAAACCAGCUACAUGGCUUACUGAAGGUGUCCUGCAAGUGGACGAUUGAGAUAAAGCACUUCAUACACACCGAUUCGGCUCUGAAUGCCAGAACUGACUUUCUCAAGAUCACACAGCCAUUCGCUAGACACGCUGACGUUGGAAGCCAGGUCUCCCCUUCAUAACUUUGCCCUAUGGUCUCCAGGUACAGCCUCAGUUCAGAAAUGUCCAGAUUAUUUAAAACAUGGAAUGGAAUUCCUGCUGUGGCACAAGAGGAUCGGCAACCAAUUGGAAAAGACACCGGCAGUAAAUGACAGGUGCCUUCUGGCUGAAAUCAGCCCUGCGUGUAACCUCCAGGGUGCAGGAGGAACAGCCUCAACUGAUGCAGGGAUGUUACCCUCCACCAGAUGUGAAACAGAAAGCCAGACCAAAAAUGUUCUGCGCCCCGCCCCCCGCGCCCCCAUUUGGUAGAACAGUUCUGCCCUCACAUAUGCCUUCAAAGGGUUACUAUGAGAGCAUUCCACAAAGCUUGACUCUGUCAAAACUACGCUCAAUUAAACUAAUAGAGGAUGUUCCAUUUCAAAACAUGCCCCUGUUCCAUCCUGAUGAAGAAGUAUCAAAAGAGAAUGAAUUUGGACCACUUUUAAAUGAUGACAUCUGCAUGACUGCAGCGAUUCACCUAUCAAACUAAUUUAGGCUUAGAGCCCACAUCAACACGGCUGUCAGAGAGUUGAUUUCUAUUCAUUUUAAAACUUCUGGGCUCAAGAGUGAUCCGUGGGAAUUUUCAUGUCAUGGGAAAAGGGAGAAAAAAAGAGAAUGGAGUUCUUCACCCAGCAACAAGAUUGGAACUCACAAUUUAGCCAGCGAGGGUUUACUGAGUGCCCCGUGCAAGGUUCCAUCCUUCAAACGGAGAACAUUCCAAAGCACAACCUCCAUGCUAAUGGAGCAUACAGUCCAUCCAAAGACAUUGACAAUGAGGAUGAUAGACAACCAUUAAUAUUGAUUUCCUAUUAAGCCAUGGACUGUCCCAUAUGCUGUACUAAAUUAAGCCUCACCAGGUACCACUAAUUGAUAGGUCCAUUUUACAGAUGAGUAGACUGAGGUGCAUUAAGAAAUAAAUAAUUAAAUAGUACUUCUCAUAGAUGAGUUUC